UCCCGCACCUGCUUCCACUUCUCUUCUGAUUAACCUAGCUUCUCCCUCAUUGGUCCACUCUCCUUCUCUCCCUGCUUAUAUACCCGGUUCCUCUAAUUAUUCUUCGCUGGUUCCUCAUUUCAUGUAUACCAUGUUUGUCACGUCUUUCCUCGAACUCUUUGGAUUAUGCUUCUUGUGAAUUCUCUUCUGUGAAUCUCCUACGACCUUGAAUUAGAAAGUGAGUCCUUCUACUAGAGGCACCAAAAUUCCUGCAUAAUGGGGAUGUGGAUUCAAAUAUUAAGAAAACAUACAUAGAAGCUUCAUACCGACAGUAACAUGUAAGCAGAUAGGAAAUGGUGGAAAGGUGUGCAGAAAACGUCACCGGGGCCAGGGUUCGAUCCCGCGACAGCGUGCAUCGAGGACUAAGGCCUCCGUAUAUAGGUUGCACACUUAAACCCUAUACCACCAGCACCGCACCCUAAAGUCAACUUUCAAUAAAACUUUA